AUUGAACGCUGGCGGCAGGCUUAACACAUGCAAGUCGAGCGAGCGGCGGACGGGUGAGUAAUGUCUGGGAAACUGCCUGAUGGAGGGGGAUAACUACUGGAAACGGUAGCUAAUACCGCAUACCAUCAGAUGAGCCCAGAUGGGUUUAGCUAGUAGGUGGGGUAAUGGGUCAUCUAGGAGACGAUCCCGAGCUGGUCUGAGAGGAUGACCAGCCAAACUGGAAUCGAGCAACGGCCCAACCUCCGACGGGAGGCAGCAGUGGGGAAUAGUGCACAAUGGGCGAAAGCCUAGUGCGACACUGCCGCGUAUGGGAAGAAGGCCUCCGGGUUGUAAAGCACUUUCAGCGCGGAGGCGGUACUCGCAGAAGAAGGACCGGCUAACUCCGUGCCAGCAGCCGCGGUAAUUC
rnacentral:rRNA from 1 species